UCAGGCAGCGACAUCCGCCUGUUCAUUCUUGCUCAGGACUUGCCCAAGAUCUUCUUGACUUGGCUCUUUUUGGUUACACUGUGUUGCAUGCCAACAUUGAUGGAAUUUUUGACGCUGUCGUUUGUCCAUAAAUUCACCUUGUGCUGCUCAUGUGGUGCGAGUUGAACGCCGUAUUGCCUCGUGAUGCCCUGGCCGUCGUCACUUCUUGUGCUGUUGGUUUGGGCGACACUGGGAACUCGAACUCUCGAUUACAGAAAGUAAUGUUGGGCGUAUGGUGUCUAGCACUCUGUAAGCCCAAAUUGAGCGCUCUUGCCAACGACGUUGACAUCCAGGUUCUCAAAGUGUCGGGAUAGCUGGCUGACGUUGUUGGGCAGAGAGCUUCGAAAGACAAACUGUCGAGCCUCGUUUCGUAGAGGUCCUGAGGCGUACGACCGUACGACCAAAGGCUGCUCGGGUUGGGGUACCUCGGCAUGUUUGCCAAGGAAUGCUACCUGG
rnacentral:misc_RNA from 1 species